UAUCGACACUGCGUCGAUAUGUCCGGUGUUCCGGCUUUGUCCCCCGCCGUUUACCGGAUACAACAGUCUACUUUCCCUCUCCGGACUGUUGAGUGAGUGCAGUAAAAAAGGCCGUUGUGGUUUCCCCCUCUCCACAACGGUCUAUUUUU
rnacentral:sRNA from 1 species